GACGAACGCUGGCGGCGUGCCUAAUACAUGCAAGUCGAACGGAAAGGCCCUGCUUUUGUUCGGUGCACGAGUGGCGAACGGGUGAGUAACACGUGUGUAACCUGCCCUUAACUGUGGGGUAACUCUUGGAAACUGGGGCUAAUACCGCAUAGGAGCUCUUGCUGCAUGGUGGUGGUUGGAAAGAUUCGGUUGUGGGGGUACGACUCGCGGCUUCGUAGCUAGUUGGUGGGGUAGUGGAUUACCCAGGCUAUCAUGGGUAGCCGGCGUGAGAGGGUGAUCGGCGACCUUGGAAGUGAGCCACGGUCCAGAGUCCUACGGGAGGCAGCAGUAGGGAAUGUUCGGCAAUGGGGGAAAGCCUGACGGAGUAGCGGGGCGUGAGUGACGAAGGUCCCCGGAGCGGAAAACUGGGUUAUGGGGGAAGAACAGAUGUGGAAGGAAACAUGCACGUCGUGACGGUACCUGAUAAGAAAGCCACGGCUAACUACGUG
rnacentral:rRNA from 1 species